rnacentral:tRNA from 1 species
GGGGCUGUAGCUCAGUGGCAGGGCACUUGCCUAGCAUGUAUGAGGCACUGGGUUAGACCCUCAGCACCA